UUCCCCGAGCUCCGAUCAAUUUGAUGCUGAUACUGUUCGAAGCGUGCGGGUGAAUGAUCAAGCCGGUGGACGGCAUUGUGGGGUUGCCGUGUAGUGGGAAUUGACACCUCAGCUGUGCGAUGGCUCACUUCAGUCAGAUUCGCCUCGAUCGAGUGCAUAAGAGGAGUGCGGAGGCUAUGCUAAUCUUCUUUGAGCUUUCCUAUUUAGUUGCCACAGUAAACAUCCCACCUAGUUGAGUCUCUUCGAUUGCCAGGGGGCUUCGGCACAAGAGAGGCCUCGAUGUCGGUAGAGGUGAGGUAUGAGCGGGGUGACUUCGAUUGCCUAGAUCUAGAAGAAAUCAUUUCCAUGACUGGGGGAAAGCUCGAUUUGCCAGAUCUAAGAGAGAUCGGUGCGAGCGGAGUUGGGACAUGUGGGAGACCCCAGGACCGUUGUGGAUGGUCCUAGCAUCGACGGAAGCGGCUUCAGCUUGGUGGCAGCGGCAGAUCCGGGCCUUGCCGUAUUGGAAAUGGAGAUUGGGCUUCGUCGACGCUCGGGGGUGAGAGGCUAGGAGGCUUUGGAGGGGCUCACUCGUGGGCAAUCUCGAUGCCUGCAGAUGCGAGGAUGCGCACGAGGAACCCUAAACCCACGGAUCCAGUGAUGCACGACGUCUUUCAAGGCACGCAUGCGCGGGUUUGAGUCUGACGAUGCAGGAGGGCCGGAGUCCCACCUAUGCCCCAAGCGGGGCCGCCGCUAGGCCCCAUUUUUCUCCCCUUUCUCUCUUCUUCUUUCUUCUUCCUUUUUUUCUUUUUUUCUUAUGGAGGAACUUUGGUGCCUCCACAGAAGGGGAGCCGCUCGGGUUGCUUCAAUUGGGUCCGAGUUCGGAAUCGAGGUGGCGUCAGGGGCUCAGAUUUGUAGAGGAUUGGCACUGCAGAGCUACAAAGAACUUGUUUUGGCAUCGUCCGGCUUGAUCGAUCACAGGAAGAGCUCGAUUUGGUCUCCACACCCAAGGAAGUGCACCAACAACUAGUGGAGUUUAUGUACUGAUACAUCGAUAUCCUUCUAAUAGGGGGUUAUAUGUUGGCAUUUGACUAUUCUGAGCUCAUUCUGACCUAGCCAUAGGGUAUAAAUGUUGUUAUAGUUCAUGGAUGUCAAGAUGAACCGAAUAUUUUGAAAGAGAUUGAUUUACAAACAAAAAUAAAUUUUGAAAGGAUUAAAUUUUCAUGUAUUUUAUUUUGAUUACUGUUGUAUAUUUCAAAUUGGAUUUUGAAUUAUUGUACUAUGUAUGCUUACUUUUAGUAUAUUAUUAUUGCUAAAUUUAUCUAUC